rnacentral:rRNA from 1 species
CACGUAGGGGGCAAGCGUUGUCCGGAUUUAUUGGGCGUAAAGAGCUCGUAGGCGGCUCAGUAGGUCGGGUGUGAAACCUCCAGGCUCAACCUGGAGACGCCACCCGAUACUGCUGUGGCUUGAGUCCGGUAGGGGAGCGUGGAAUUCCUGGUGUAGCGGUGAAAUGCGCAGAUAUCAGGAGGAACACCAGCGGCGAAGGCGGCGCGCUGGGCCGGAACUGACGCUGAGGAGCGAAAGCGUGGGUAGCAAACAGG